CUAUUCCCUGCUGAUAAAAAUGGAAAUCUUCGUUUCGUUUUGGAAGAUGAUUAUAAUGAAGCUUUCAGGAAAAAAG
rnacentral:sRNA from 1 species